rnacentral:sRNA from 1 species
CCAUAAUUCUGUUCAGUUCACCGUCAAGCAUUGAGCAAUUGCCUAUUGCUCUUGUCAUUCUUUUUUCCUAUCACCAAAAGCCCUGCUGCGCUCCGUCCACAGUACGACGUUGUUGAUGGUGGGAAGGUUGCAUGAUGGGUGCAAAGAUUGUAUUGAGCGAUGUAGGAGAGGCAAAAUAUAACCUUGCACCCCAAAAGGCAAGUGACUUGAUCCGACUUCAUCCUUCUUGCGCUUCAGCACUGUCUCCUUGGGCUGCCUUCGUUAUGACAUCGCGACAUUAUUACGUUUGACCUGACCACCUCCUACCACCGCUUCUUUAAGCCCUCUUCUCUGUUCUCUUCCACCUAUUGUUGGGUGACUAAUUAUAAUUAGCUUUACUCAUUUUCUUCCUCGAUCUUGUACAAUUGUUAUAAGACAUUUCAAAUUUAUAUCUGAUGCACCCAUCCUCAUUAU